GGGGAUGAUCCGGUUUCGACGGGAGUGUCGGAGGCGGGAUAAGCGAGCCGUGGCCCCGAACCACGAUAAAAGCGGGAAAAAAAGUAACUGACAAUAACGAAUUUGCUUUCGCGGCCUAAUAGGCCGUGACGGUGGCCCGGUUUGACCGCGUGGCCGGUCUCCACCGUCAUGAACGCGGUGAACGAGCAUGCUUAAGCUUUGCGGCAUGCCCGUAGCAUGAAGCUACUGAAGCGCCCAGCCUGUCUGCGGGCGGGGCGCGGAGGGAAUGUCAAAUCACAGACUGCGCUCGGAGAAGGUUCCGCUGGCGAGCUUUCGGACAGGGGUUCGACUCCCCUCAUCUCCAC
rnacentral:sRNA from 1 species